rnacentral:misc_RNA from 1 species
GAAAUGCGAUACGUAGUGUGAAUUGCAGAAUUCAGUGAAUCAUCGAAUCUUUGAACGCACAUUGCGCCCUUUGGUAUUCCAAAGGGCAUGCCUGUUCGAGCGUCAUUUGUACCCUCAAGCUUUGCUUGGUGUUGGGCGUUUUUUGUCUUUGGCUCGCCCAAAGACUCGCCUUAAAACGAUUGGCAGCCGGCCUACUGGUUUCGCAGCGCAGCACAUUUUUGCGCUUGCAAUCAGCAAAAGAGGACGGCAAUCCAUCAAGACUCCUUCUCACGUUUGACUUCGGAUCAGGUAGGGAUACCCGCUGAACUUAAGC